rnacentral:rRNA from 1 species
AUGCUAGCAAGAUGGGCAGCAUAUCUGGAGAGGUUUAACUAUCUCAUCGUGCAUAAAUCUGGAAUAACUAACAAAGUGGCCGAUGCUUUAAGUCGUUGUGCAUGCCUCUUGACUUCUUUUGAAGCUGAACUUCCGGACAUGGAUCAAAUAAACGAGUUGUAUGAGGGUGACGAAGACUUUGGCCAUGUUUGGGUAAAGCACGCAAGGGGCCAACCAUUAGGUGAUGACUAUUUGAUGCAAGAUGGAUAUCUCUUAAAAAUGAUUGUUUUUGCAUUCCAAGAAGUCCUCUACAUGACAAGCUGGUUAGAGAGCUCCAUUCAAGUGAUCUUAGUGGCCAUGUUGGACGGGACAAGACUAUCGCUAGCCUGGAAGCUUGCUACUUUUGGCCACAACUAA